UACAGAGGUGGCAAGCGUUGCUCGGUAUCACUGGGCUUAAAGGGCGCGUAGGCGGUGCGGUACGGUUUCGGUGAAAUCCCUCGGCCCAACCGAGGAACAGCCGGAGCUACGGCCGCGCUAGACGGCAUCAGGGGACAGUGGAACUUCCGGUGGAGCGGUGAAAUGCGUAGAUAUCGGAAGGAACGCCGGUGGCGAAAGCGACUGUCUGGGGUGCCUGUGACGCUGAGGCGCGAAAGCCAGGGGAUCAAACGGG
rnacentral:rRNA from 1 species